rnacentral:misc_RNA from 1 species
GAUGAAGAACGUAGCGAAAUGCGAUAAGUAAUGUGAAUUGCAGAAUUCAGUGAAUCAUCGAAUCUUUGAACGCACCUUGCGCUCUUUGGUAUUCCGAAGAGCAUGCCUGUUUGAGUGUCAUGAAAAUAUCAACCUUGACUUGGGUUUUGUGCUCUAGUCUCGGCUUGGAAUUGGGUGCUUGCCGCUUUUACGAGCGGCUCACCUUAAAUGUAUUAGCUGGAUCUGUCUUUGAGACUUGGUUUGACUUGGCGUAAUAAGUAUUUCGCUAAGGACAUUCUUCGGAGUGGCCUCGUUUCUAGGACGCUUGUCCGCUUUCCAAUACAAGUUCCACCUCGUGGACAUGACUUUUUAUUAUCUGGCCUCAAAUCAGGUAGGACUACCCGCUGAACUUAAGCAUAUCAAUAACGGAGGA